UACGAAGGGGGCGAUCGUUGUUCGGAUUUACUGGGCGUAAAGGGCGCGCAGGCGGUCUUGAAAGUCAGGCGUGAAAGCCCCGGGCUUAACCUGGGAAUUGCGCUUGAUACUCUGAGACUGGAGUACGGGAGAGGAGAGUGGAAUUCCCAGUGUAGAGGUGAAAUUCGUAGAUAUUGGGAAGAACACCAGUGGCGAAGGCGGCUCUCUGGACCGUAACUGACGCUGAGGCGCGAAAGCGUGGGGAGCAAACAGG
rnacentral:rRNA from 1 species